CAUUAAGUGUGCAGGCAGUGCAGGACUAAGCAUGCUCAGUGAAAAAGCUUUUCUCCCUUGCCUGUCAAGCCCUGUGUUUGAACUCAUUCCAGAAUGCCGGAUUUACUUUUCACCAAGAAGCAGUACCUGGCCGGACUGCAUUUUUCUCUCUCUCUCCUCAGCCAUGGGAAGAUUGGAAACAAUAUUCUUCUGAUGCUCAGUGCGCUCAGCCCGCGUGCGUGUGCGGCUGUUGCAGUGGAGGAGGAGGACAAACUUUGCUACCUGUGAGACGAAGGCUGGUAGCACUGGAAAUGAAAACAGUUCCAUUUAUGAUACUGUUCUCAGGCUCCAUAAAUGAACACCUUGAUGGCUUCAUUGGGAAUUCCUUAUGGAGAAGAAGGAGAAAUGAUCAUCUGAGUUCUCCUGAAGAUGGGAGUCAGGACCAGACAGGCCCCAGCAACGUUCCUAAGGCACAGAAUGUCACCUGUCACCUCUUUUCCUCCUACAGUUCCUCACCAAGGUUCAGGUGAAUGUUGGCUGAGAGAGAAGAAAUAAAGCAGUGUUUUACAGCAACCCAGCGGCACAGAAGGGUCUGCCAGUACUGGUGAAGUCCCUUCUCUGAACCAGACAACAGAAGCUGCUUUCCCAGUUCAUGGUUGCUCCUUCCCACUGGCAAACAACCUCGGGGGGGAUCUGCUUAUCUGCUUCCAGGUUGUGCCUGCUGCGAGGUGGAGACGAAGAAGUGCGCAUCCAUCCUUUUUUGCCUUCUUGCUGCAAACUCACCAACAAGGCCAUUCAGGACUGAAUUCAUUCCCAGAUCUCCUUUUGGCAGCUGGAUGAGAAGGGAAUGCCACCACAAAGGAGGGAUCGCUGAGGCGAGGCUGAAGUUGUGUUCAAAGGCAGCAGCAGUGCUGUGCAUUGCAGAUGUCAUAGAAUCACCGCCGUGAUCAGUCAGCCUCUUCCCUGGAGUGACUCUGAGUUCUGACUGCACUGGGGGAAAUCAAGACCUGAGCAGAUCCUUUUUUAUUUCCAUUCAUUCUCAGGGUGGUUCUUCUCAAACCAAAAGGAGCAGUCAGAAAGCACUCCUCGUCCAGUUGGGCCUAGCAAUAUGGCAGCGCACAUUCGAUGCUGAACCCUUGCUCCUCCUGUUCUUGGUCUGAAUUUUGGGCGCUGGGAGCUCUGGAAAAGCUGAAUGCUUUUGAAGGAAGAAAUGCUGUCAGAUAGCAGAGUUGGAGCUGGGGGAAUUCUCUGGAUCGGUUCGUGAAGCGAAAGGAUUCUUUCUCUUUAAAAAUAGAAUGACAAUAGCACCCCGGCCCAGAAAUGACUCCUCUGAAAGUUAAAACAACUCUGAGGCAGUUGCUGUCUGCUUCCACCGGGCUGCCAGCGUGGAAAUGAGACCACUUCUUGCGGGAUGGGGUGAUGCAGAAGUACAGACUGGCACCAGGAGUGGGGAGACUGGCUGCUGUGCUUGCGUCCCGCUGCUAUUUCUGGCAUGCAGAGACUGAGCGGUGUCUGCUGGCCCAAACGUAAGUCCUCAGACAUUGCUGCAUCUUCCCCACAUUCUGACAUUCGUGCUCUCUGUCACGUGCCUCCUGAUAUGCGGCCUUCUAAUUUUUAGUAUUGUCAACACCAGUGAAAACAAGUUAUGGUACGUUAAGAGCUCUGUGUCUAGUUUGACCAGAGGUAAGGGCAACAGAACUUGCAUUCAGCCUUCCCCUGUGUUCAGGUUCCCAAGCCUGUUAUUUCUCUGACAGCGGGAUCUAAAUGGUUUGGCAUCCUGUAGAUGCCCUUUGAGAAGAGGCUCCCUGUCCCCAGGAGCCCGCAGUCUAAACAGAUAAGGCAAGCAGGAGAGGGAACACAGUGAGAUGGAGAAACUCGCCCAAGCCAAUUAGCACGUCAAACGACAGGGCUGGGAAUAGGAACAGACCUUAUGAAUUCUCACCACUGUCACCACCACCAAAAAUAUUUUGGUGUUCUACCUUUUGGUUUAACUCUUAAGCAAUAGAUGAGACAAAUAUAUAUAUAUAUUUUUUUUGUUGGGAGAAAUAUGCCCCUUUGUUUAAUUUUUUUUUUCAAAUUGUGGCAAGUGUGGGCCAUAGCUGGAGUACAAGAACACCUGGAAAACAAAUUUUUGUUUAUCUUUGAAAUAAUUCCAGCCUCUCUUUAAAAAGAAAGUCAUUGCUGGUGAAAAAGGCUGUGACAGGAGGUCUGGGGGAUGUGUAGGAUGACUAUGCUCUGAGGUUCUUCCGCUCCUUAUAACCUAUCAGGGAUCUCUACAAACAUUAAUUAUGGCUCAGUGUCAUUUCUUUCUCAUGUGAAAUAGAUACGUUACUUAUUUUAGUUUUAUGCAGGGAAAAAAUGGGUGCAGACUGAGGAUCCACAGCGGGUUCAUGGAGGAGAGGGAAAUAGAUCUCUGGACUGCAGCAGGCAGGCUCAGCCUUUCCAUCUCGGUACAGUGUGACCCGUACACUUUUUGCCUAUUGAAAUAUAAUUCGCUCUAGCUCUGCUUUAGCCUCAUGGAUUUCUAAUUUUAAUCUAAUUUUCUACUCUUCCUGCUGGGUCAGAUUCCCAAAAUGUCACUAAACUUUGUGCCUGUUCCUGACGUUGGAUCUGGGUUCAGUCAUUUAGAUUCUAAUUGAGUAGUCUCAGUCUGUGUAUUACUUUUAGCGACUUUUAGGGAAAGAGGGGAAAAAAAGAAGAGUUGAUUAAUUAAGGGACAUCACCUCUUUCAUGCAAUGAUUCUAUUUGAAUUUCAAACAAAUUUAAAUAAAAAGCAUUAAAUGUUCAUCAUAGGUUAACAGACUAAUAAAGCUCCAUCAGCUAGUAACUGAAAUACCUGAAAAUUUGUCAGACUUUUGGUAUGAGAACUCAGAUCUGAAGGAGUAUUACCACCAGCUCAAAAAUGAUUAGAUUUAUCUGAAAUUUUAGUGAGUUUCUUGGAGCUUUGGUCAUGUUUUAUGUGAAUCAAGCCUUAUGCGAAACUCCUGGUAGACCAGAAGCCAUGUGAAAUACGAGGGUUUUCAGGUGCUUGAUGUGGUAUGGAAAUGGCAAAUCAUGCAGGAGUGGAUGUUAAACAUUAGUGCGUGACUUCAUCCAAACAAGUUCAAGUUUCGUCUUGAGUUUUGGAGUUUGGUUAAAUCCAGUAUGUACAGAAGAGCUCACAUUUGAAAGCAGAUUGUGAACUCCCCAUGGACAAAACACACAUAACUCCAGGUACUGCAUUCCUGCUUCUCAUGCUCUUUCUUUGAUAGUGAAUGAAUUAAUCUCUGUAACCUUUCUUUUAAAUCCCUCUGUUACAUCCACUGACCUUUUGUUGAACCCUUCCCAUUUUCCCAAACUUGGUUUUAAAUAAGGCACGGAAUGAUGCAGAAUUCCAGGACUCUCAUGCCUGGAGGUGAACAACUCCACCUCAUCUGGCUUUUUCCUUGCUUUUCUCACCUUAGGAUAAAUUGUUUUAUGGCUUUGUCCAUAAAUAAAUGUGGCUUUGUCCAUAAAAUAACAACUGUAUUAUUUUAAUUGUCCUCCAUUAUCUUAUAGAGGUUGAAAGAUUUGGAGCUCAACAGUCUUUUAGAAACAUGUUAGCAGAAUUGGAGUCGGGUAGAAAAAAUACAACCAUCCCCUCUCUAUGCUGAGUCACUGUCAGAAUAGACCUUCUUGGGUUUGAAGGGUUGAGGAUAAUGAGUAAUCUGGACGGAGCAGCUUUCUUCCAAGGACCUCAGAACUCUCUGCAGAUGUGCUUCUCUCUGCAAAAUGGCUCUCACUCCAUUUCUGUGAGAACUCUUCCCGCAAACUGGGUCCCUAAGAGGAUUAGUGAAGGGGAUACCAAUUUAUUUAUACUCACCUCAGCAUGGUAGCAGCCAAACACUGUAAGUUGCUGGAUUAUUAAAUGGCCUGUAACACAUGAAAGAAGCUUCAAUCUUCUGGUGCGGUUCAGAGUGGACAGGUGUUUGCUGCACAGCUGCUCUGAACUGAUCCCCAAUUUUGGCAAGGUUUUUUUUUUUCCUUUUUGACCUGCUCACACUGGUGAGAUGAACAGGUGUGCUCGGAAACAAAUGGACUGUGGAGAUUUGGUCCCUUUUUAAGGGCAAGACCAAUUUUCAGGCCUUUUUCAGUUGUACUUCGCUGGGGGGGAAGGAAUAAAAGAACUAAAGAGAGGUAUGGAGAGUUAGGGAAACCCCUCAAACUUUGUUUAAAUUACACAUUCCUGGCACUCCCAGUGCCGGGUGAUGCUGCCAUUUGUGUUUUCUUCUAUAGUGCCUGGCUUGCACGGUCCCAAGCAGAGUUAAAUGCAUGUCUAUGACCACAAGAGGAUGACGCCUCGGUUUCUCUGUGCCAGCCUGGAGGCCCUUAGGUGCUGCAGUUUAAGUCCUUGAAAAACAAGGUUGCUGGACUCUAGUAAAUAGUGUCCGGAUGUUAGCGAUGAUUCAUAAAAGCAAUUAAAAAAGGAAAGUGCCUUGCUGCUGGGCGUAAUGUCUUGAAGAUGUCCUUAAGAGUGUGUAAUGCUGCAGACAGUGGUCAGUGGGUAGUGACCGCUGUGCUUAAGAUUACCAAUCUGUUUCCAGCAUAACUCUUCUUUUCACUUGGUUCUCAUGAUCAAAACUUAUUUUUUUUUCUUUUUUUGGUAGCUGAAUUUUCCUUAUUUAGCCAUCGCUGCAAAAUAGUUCCCAUCCCUUCCUUCUUAAAUCUGUGAAGAACAUCUACUGAGAAUGUAAUAUUUUCCAUGGGAGAAAAGUGCUUUUUUGAAAUUUAAAUACCGUGGAUGGCAAAUAAUUGGAAUUCAUCAAACGUGAUUUAGCUGUGGGGUUGGGUUUUCUUUCAGUGCUACCCUCUUGCCUUACAGCCCUGACCUUCCACAAGGCGCAGAGCAGCCCACUUGUGGUGCCAUUUGCAAUAAGCAAGACAGAACUGUGUUACAACACGAUUGGGAUUCUUGCUGUGUGCAGAGAUGCCCAGAGUGGCCACACGGCCUAAGCAAGAGGUAGGCACGCUCUGCAAACAUCUCCCUGUGUGGCUUUUCCAGUCCUUAACUAACCUGUGAGCUCCCAGCCAUGCUGCUAGCUCUGCCCAUUGCAUUGACUCCUCCAGCUGGACGCCUUUUGGUUCUCUUGGUGUCUGCACGUGGUCCAGAGCUGGGGCUUGGCUCUGCUGUGCCCUUCAUUAGACCAGGCAUAUAUGCUAAGGGAAGCAAAAUAGUUUACUGAUUUAUCAUGGAUCAUUAGAUGGAGUAACUAUUCUUAAAACAUCACCAGUAUAGAUACAAUAAUUAGAGAUGUGCUUUUGUUAACAUUGCCAGCCUCUACCCUCUUGUACAGUACCCUUGGGUACUAAAUAAUUACCCACUUUGUGUGGUUAUCUAGCUCACUAAUUACCCACAAAAAUUGGGGUCAGGUGUUAACUGCUUGAAAUAAGUAUCCUCCAAAGACUUGGUUAAAUUGUGUAAAGAAAUUAUGUGUUUGCAGCAAAACUUAGGAAAAAAAAAAACUUUUUUUGUUGUUGGAAGGAAAAGGGGAACACAGAAAAGACAAUGGAUGUAAAUGGUCCUCUGUGAUGGCAACAUCUUGCACGCAGCUAUGGUGCUGGGGAUGGAAUCUGUAAGGGGAGAGAGAGGAUGGCUGGCGGAUACAGUCUCUCUCAUCCUCUGCUUUUCCCAAAGAUUAGAUCCCUCAGUACAUAGAGUGAUUCUUCCCCUAUCUAGGCUGGUGUCAGUCGGGGUUGUGUCGGUAUAAAUGAGAAAAUUUGUAUGCAUGGAUUCCUGGGCUGCCUUUACUGCAUAAUUCCCCCUCCUCUGUCACUCAGGGACUUCUGCAUUGCACCCAAUAAUUGAAUUAUGCAUUGUAUAUGUAUUUCCAUAUGUUUAUUUUAGUUGUUUCGAACUCUGUGUGCAUGCAGAAUCUCAUUCCAGGGCUGCUGCUCGUAAAAUGUAGCUCGCUUUGAGUAAUAAUUUAAUUCCUGCGUUCAGGGAGUUACCCCAGUGAGUCAAAGAUUUCUAGAUAGCCCCACCCUCCCCAACUUCCCGAACACUUACACUGCAGUCACUUUCUCUUUGCCAGACCCACACAAGACGCCGAGCCAGCCAAAAUCCCAGGAGGCAGCUUGUCCUGCCUGCCCCGUUUUAGCCCCAGGGAAAUAGGAAAUAAAGCCCCGAGAGCCCCGAAACCAAAGCCUGUGAAAUACCUGGCAUAGAACAGAGGGAUAUUGAAUAGCCUGGCCUCCUAACCUGGUGUCUCACACUGGGGCUCGCUGUCUGCGGCACAAAGGAAAUUGAUGUAAGUGGGAACGAAGAUGAUUCUGAAAAUCCCACUGUGCGGCCCCGGGAUCUCUGGCCGCACGGAUGCCCUUAACGCUGCAGUGCUGAGCACCUGCGCAGCGCACAGCCUAACAAAGGAGCUGCCUUAUUUAUUUAUUUCCGUGGCGGCUUUAGGUGCUUUCUCCCCUGCGGUUCCCACACAGGCAGCCUGGAUAGGGUCCGGUUCUGGGUAUGAUCGGUGCCCCCCGCCCCGUGGCUCGGGGUGCGGGGGGGUCUCAGGUGGUGCGUUCUGGCCGGGGCUGUGCCCGUCCUUAGGGGCGUACCUGCGUUCUGCAUCCCUGCAGGCAUCAGCCCUGCAGAGCACAAUGCAGAUUUAGUCGUCAUCUUUGUCUCCCCCCCCCCCCCCGCCCCGCUCCCCGCUGAUGUUAACUGUCUGUAUUAUUAUUUAUUGUUAUCAAGGGAUUUGGUUUGAUCAAUGAAGUGUAUAUACGUCUGACGGACAUUCGGGGAGGAAAUGCUUGGAGAAUGAGUAACAUGUCUGCAGUGGAGGGUGUGUGUGAGGAGAGAGCAGCAUCGGUCCUAGAAACGUUGACUGAUGAGUUCAUUUUAAAAUCCAAGGGCAUCUAGCUGGUAAAUUAGCACAUAUUGCAAAUAUAGUCUGGUGCGAGAGGCAGCGGCUCUGCCAUCGAGCAGGGGGUGGGUGUGGAGGGGUGGGGGUCGAGGAGAGGAGAUCGUCAGCUCUAAAGUCACGGCGGGCAGGAGCCGGGCGGUCCGCCUGCCUCCACGCAGACGCGGGGCGUGCGAUUUCCACGGGCGGCUGCGGGCUGCAGUGUGGCGGGGAGGGGAACGGGAUGGGGGGGGGGGGGGGGGGGGGGGAGCGAGCGAGAUAGCAGCGGUGGAUUUUAUUGUUUUAAAAUCCAGCUCCAGCCAGAGGGAUGCUCGGCGGAGAGCUGCGGUCCCACCACUCCCCCUUUCCCUCUCCACCCCCCCCUCCCACCCCCCCUUCUCCCCGCAGCCCCGCGGGAAGGUGCCGGCGGGGUCCCGGGGCCGCCGGCAGGGGAUGCCCGGCGGCGGCGGGGCCGGGGCGGCCGCGGCGGUUCCUCCCGGGAGCUUAAGGGAUUAUUGGGGAGGGGGGAGCGGGUCGGGGUGUUGCGCGAGGCUGGCGGCGGCGGCGGGGGGAGCCGGGUCCUUAUUCUGUUAAAGAUUUAAGUAGGCAUGCAAGGAAUCUCUAGGAUAGUUGGCAAAGGGCGAGGGUGGGGAGGGGGGGGGAAGGAUCCAAAAGAGUCUGUAACCAGACACUGAAGCUUUCCAGGAGUGAGAGUGUGUGAGAGAGACGGAGACAGAGCGAGAGGAAGAGAGGGGGCAGUGUGGUCUAGUACAUUUUCAUCUGGUCGUUGAUUUGAGCCUGAUGCUUGCUGUCCCUCAACAGCCUCCCUUGCCUGUAUUUUUUCUUUCCCCCUCUCCUCUCCUCUCCUUUCCCUUCUACUUCAUCGAAGCCUAGGGGAGCCAGUAAAGAUUAAAUGUGCUUUCUAAAAGGCAGCCACUUCAUGCAGCUAUGUCUGCUCUCCCCCCCCCCCAGCCCCCCCCUCCCCUCCACUCCCCCUUUUUCGAAAUUAAAAAAAAAAAAAAAACAAACAACAAAACAAAACAAAAAAAAAUAAGAAGGGGGGAGAAGGAAGGAGGAGGAAGAGGAGGACUGUAGUUUAAUGAUGUCGGGACUGGCUGAUCCAGAAGGAGGAAAGAGGAGAAAAAAAAAAAAAAAAAAGGAAAAAAAAAAGAUUUUGAGAGCCUGGACGAGGAAGGACUUUGGUGAAUGGGCUCAGACUCCCGAGAGCGGAGCGCGGCUGUGAGGUGGAGCAGCUGGCGGGGCUGUGGGUUCCUGCUGGCACCGUGCAGCUCUGCUCACCCACUGCCAACUGCACAGCGCUGCUGCCCGGCCCCGUUCCCAGCGCUCGGAAGGAAAGAGCAUCCCGGUUCUUCUUCACUCUUGGGAACACACACAUUGUUUCAAUAAUCCAGGCAAUAAAUGCUAAUUAGUAAUGCUUAAGGACCCUACCAGUCAGAGUCAUUACCAUAAUCUACCUCUUCCUUGUUAAAAACGCUCCUUGCUGCUUUAAAAUUUUGCCAGGCGAUGCUUUCUUUGCUCUUCCUUUGGAAAGCAAUCCCCAUUGCGUUAGCAAUGAGUGCAGCCCCGCUGCAGCACCGAGACAUUCUGUGGAGGCAAAGCAUGCUCUGCGUGUGGCAAAGGGGACCGGAGCUCGAGAGAAGUGCAUGGAGGUUUUCCCACAUGUCAGAUUUUCUUCUGAAGCAGAUAUUUUUGCUUUGCGUCCUUCUCUGCACCCUCCCCUCCCCAGCACCACCAAAACCCACUUACAGGGGGAGAACAAAGGAAAUCACGAACUAUAAAGGCAUCAUUAAGUGUGAGCAGCAACGGCGAGAUAGCGUGUGUGAUAUGACAACAUAUUUCACGGCACAAAAGUAGAGAUAAUUAAAUAAUUCAGCGGUAUUCUUAGCUAAUUAGCACGGAGAUCUUUCAGAAGCCAUCAGGAAAAUGGAUCUCAUCAAAUCUAAUAAUACGCUACAUUUCCCCACGAUGCUGUGUUUUCCAGCCUUGCUGCUCCUCCACCACCCCAUGCAGUAACACAAAAGGUUACAAAUAGUUGCACGUUUAAUUGGGCUGUUUUUCAGGAUCGUCUUUUCUGCACAAAAUGAUUCUCUCUUUAGAGGAGGGGGGGGAUAUAUAUGCGGCUGGAAUCUUCAAUGUUAGCCAAUAAAAAAGAAAAAUAAUAACAACAGUAGCUUCAUAAAAGCUGAAUGUGUUAAAAACGGUCCAUUAUUAUCAGCUAGGAGCCAUUUUGGGCUGGUUGCAAUGGGGCUGACUCACUUUGAGUUGGGCUCGGUGAAUUAACGCUGCUGUCCGAGAUCUUUUUAUAGAGUUAAUUGGGGACCUGGAUUGCCUGCUCUCUGAUUUUCCUGCCAUCGAGCAGCACGUGGCAGAGCUGGGGUGGGGCCUGUGCCCUCUGCUCUGCGUGCUCUGCUCUGAUAUCAAGGCCCGUGGUACCAGCUGGGCAGAACGCAGUGCUCAUUGCUUCGGGUGUCUGGCAGCAUGGCUGUAGUUACGUGCCAUGCCAACGCUCCCUCCCGUGGCUGCACGAGCUGUGCAGCAGCAAGCAGUGGCUGUGUGUGCUCACGAGCCCCAGCUGGCAGCCUGCAGGUGUGCAGGGCAGCACGACGGGUACCUGCAGGGUGCUGGCAGUGCUGCUGAGCCCACGGCACGCUCCCAGGAAUCCGGUGCAUCAGAUGUUAGUCGGAGCAUCUCGUUAUAUGACCUCGAUCUGAGCGUAUAUCCAUGUUCACGUGAUGCAUUUAGGAGCUGAUCUGCUGGGUGCGUUGGAUGCGCUCAGGUUAAGCAAUGGUUCCGGCCUUUGCUCCGGUCCCAAACUGAGUGAUGGACUCUGGUGUUACAACCAUGCACGGUGCUGCUGGGGUGAGGUGCUCCGCCUCACUGUUACUCCUUUGCACGUGCAAGGAGGCUUUUCCUCCUCUGCAAUGAUGGAGACUGUUUCUUGUAGGGUGGGCGGAAGGAGUAUGAGGAGAAAAGGCAGCAGAAGGAAAUCAGCACACCUGCAGCAGUGCAGUAACUGCUGUCUGCAGGGCUGCAGUGCUUCACAGUGUACUUUCUUCUCCUAGGGGGGGGGUUCAGGUUGUGAGUAAGGUUACUGAAAUGCCAUGGGACCCUCUUAGGUCCCCCAGAUGUAAUUAUGAACAUGUUAUUUCUGUUAGCAAGUCACACAAAUUUUCCCCCAUUGUUUUGAGUUCCUUUUCUCUUGUGCCCUUCACCCAACUCUGUUAACUGUGUUACUAUCUGAGGACGUUACAGCCAAUUAAAAUUACACGUGUAUAUAUAUAUUCAAGAUGAAAGUUGAGUCUCUGAAUCACAAGGCAGGCCAAGCGGAAGGCUCAGACCGCGUGCUGCAGUUGUUGCUGUUGAGCAGCUCUUCCCAUCCAGCAGCCAAUGUCCCUCCGAUCCCCCGGGGCUGUGGUGCCCAGCACAGAACCCUUCAUUCCCAGUGCUCCUGCGUGCUGGGACCUCCAGCAGUGUCCCAACAGAGCGGGCUGAUGGAUGGGACACUGUAUCUCAAGUGUAUGUUCUUUGUAUCCUUAUGCAGUCUGGAUGGCGGGUGGUGGUCAGGAGGAGGGAGGGCGUGUAAGGGUGAGCGUAGGCUUUGCUGUGUAAUGUGUGCUUCUGUCCUUCAAGUAAGGCACAGCAUCCAGCAGCAAACGUCCCAGGAUGGUUUGUGCCACUUGUGGGCUCCGAGGGGUGGAUGGGCUCUGGCAAAACGUGCACGGACUGUCAGAGUGCUGCUGCUCAUCUCAAAUCCAACGUGCUGAGCCCACCUGGGCUGUGCGUGCUGUUGUGUGACUGCGGAAGAUGGGGCACAAAGGGCUCCUUGGGUGCUCUGUAUGGCACAGCAGAGGACGAGCCAAGCCAGCAUCUGAGAGGUCCCCAGCAGCUCCUGCAAGGCGCUGAACAACGUCUGCUGCUCCCCAAAGGCUGAAAGCACUCCCGGCCAUCACACGCCGCUCUCUUCGCUGCCGACGCCGCUUUUAAGAUGAAUGAUGUGAGAAAUGCUGCAAAGCAUCAGAGGUCGAGGAGCUGCCUCAGUGCACGGACACCGUUCUGCGUGGAGGCUGCGGCUCAGCUGAGCGCCCCUCCGGGGAGAGAGAGAAGUGGGGAAAAACGACAACCAGAAAAGAUUGGUGGACUUUGGUUUUCGUAUGCACCUGUGUUUGUAUCAUGCCUGAACCUGCAAAGAGUAACACGUGGUUAUUCGCAUGGAAUCCAGUAAAUGGUGAACCUGUAAAUCAGUGACCCGAAGUGUGCUUGUCUCAUUUGAUCCCCUCUCCCUUCCCCCAGGGUUCCCCCUUUGGAGCACCUGGAUGGAGUGCUUGGGGCUGGGGUGGGGAGGGCUGGGGGCAGAGCUCGGGGCACCCCAUGCACAGAGGGUCCGAAUUGGCCUCCAGUUGUUCGGGUGUGUUUUCCAUUCAUGGAUAUUCCGCAGGGCAAAGCGCUUUAAAAGAGAUUUUCCAACUUUUAAGGCCAAACUGCACUAAAAACCAGUGGGGUCUGUAUUUCUCUCUCUGACAUUUCACAGGUAAUUCACGAGGAACAGUGCGGCUUGGGCAUAAUUCUUUUCUCCUACCUCUCCCUUUGAUCUUUCCCACAUGAUCUCCCAUCCCGUGUGCAGCUUUCGGGCUUUAAUGUGGAUUUUGAAAGAUGCUUCAGCAGAACUGGAGAAGGAGGGAAGCCACGGCUCUGCAUUGCUGAUGCUCUGCUUGCUGAUGCUCUGCUUGCUGCCAUUAUGUCAGUGCACGGUUCCUUUUGCAAUACAUGAAGAGUUACAAACAAUAAACAUGUAAGCACAUGGCAUUUGUUGCAUUUGCCAGAAGUGUGCAAUGAAACCUAAAGUCCCCAUAUUCCUUGCACAGCCAAAUGCUCCUUUGUCUCACGGUCAUAGCAUACGAGCUGACACUGCAAAGACAGACAAGUAGAAAUGCUCUAUUUUUUUCUCCUUGCCCUGUUUUAGGAAGAACUGUCCCCAAAUCCCACCCACAACAAGCACAACCCUCUGGCCAUAGUGCCUGCAUGGAGAGCCCGAUGGCUGGGAAUCCAUGCAGUGAAUGUGGGGGGCUGCAGCCAGCAGAAUUGAGCUCCAGGGGCAGAACGAAGGCUUAAAGUCAAUGUCCUGUGAGGGAUUCUCUGAGUCCUUGCACAGAACGUGGUGGGACAGCAGGGAGGUGUGAUUGCACAUUUAUCUUUUCAGUUGAGAUAUACGACCCAAGGUCUCUCUUGUUCAGGGACAGAUGUCCAAGGAGAAGCUGCAUUCCUUUGGCACACGCCGUGUGAAACCUUCCUUUUUUGUUGUUUGCUUUAAUUCCUUUUUGGGUUUCAAUACCCAAAAGGAGACAACACUCGUUGGGAAUGCCUCCUCAAGCUCAAAACUAUGAGGACAAAACAUUCUGGGAUGCGUCCGAUCCAGGUUGGAAUGUAACUGUCAGAACACAACACUGGGCUUAACGCUAUGAAGCAUGGAGCAAUGCACGAAUGUGUUUUGCUCACCGACUUUUGUACCUCAUUACUUAGUAAUGAGACCCUUAAUUUCAAGGUGUUCUGCCUCUGUGUCCUCUUCCCUGCAUGGUGUGGGCAGGGGCUGCCUUUCAGGGCAGAGCUUUGCUCUCCUCAUGCCUGGGUCUGUUCCUCCAUGGGGUGGGCAGGUGCCUAAAAGCACUGAUUAGGAAGUUUGGCUGAGGCGCUUUGCCUGAGAUGGCAGAGCUGAUAAUUGGAUUUCAGUCCUCUGCUAUCCAGUCCAUUACUGCAGCUAUAAAUCACGGCGCCUGCAAUCACUUGUCUAAUGCACCCUGAGUUUUAAAAUGUUUCCUUUACGGCCUUUUCCCUCCGUGCCUGGGAAUAAACCUGUAAUAGGACAGUGGGGACAGAGCUGCCCCUUUGGUCACUCUUAGCACAGCUCUCCAUUGCUUGUUGACUCCUACCCAGCAUUAGCUCCCCCCCAUAAAAGAGCUCCUAAUGCUCAGUGUGCUGCUUUGUCAGCUCAAAUAGCUUUUACACCUGUAAGGAUGUUAUAUCCUAGCUGGGAAGGCUUCUUAUAUCUGCUGGGUCAUGCUAGGCUCAUUUCAGCACAAGCUCCUCCAUCACCUGCACUGUUAGCUUGGGAUAAAGGGAGCUCAUUCUCUGUGCAGGAAAGGGACCCACCUCUCCCCCCAAGGCUGUGCAGGCUCCAUCUGCAUCACUGCAGCACUGGAGCUCAGCACCAGUUGGGUCCCUUUACAGGGAUGGGAUCUGAAGUUCUGGAUCUGCACAAAAAGGCAACGAGAAGGUAGAAUCAGAAGUAGCAAGAGCUGGGGAAUGCCCUUGUGAAGCAGCAGCAGGUGAAUAGGGCAUGGUUCUGACAUGUGAAGUAUUAACUUAGAUCAGGCAGUACCAUCCCUUGCACUUCAUUAGCUCCAAUUCUACGCCAGUCAUUCUAUGCAGUCAGUGGAGCAUCACAGAGAUGCAUUUAAAGUCUCACAGUGUGGUCCAAAACAGCCGAGCACAGAGGAAUGUGGAAGCUGUGACUGAGGCAUUGAGAGGGGUGUGCCAACGGGGAACUCACCUUUUCAGUUUGGUGGCUACACCUCAGGGACCAGAAUACCUUCUGAUGCGGAGUUCAGCUCUUCCCCACUUGCUGCUACAACAGCAAACAGAGGUAAUAGCUUCUACCCACUCCCAACCUCUGAACUGUCUCUGGGCAAUAAGAAGUUCUCACCCUCGUUGGUCCAUCUAUGUGUCCAUCUGUCUAUAAAACAAACAUUUUCCCUGCUAGAAGAGGUGCAGAAAUAGACCCCUUGAAAACCACGAUCGCUCGAAGGUGAUAUUUCUAUAUUAUUAUCACCUUUUUAUUUCUAUAUGUUUAUUUCUGAGUUUUGGCUUUUUCUCCUUUAUCCACCUCCACUAGAGCCUUUCCCAGGAGCUGGGCUUUGGAUCACGCAGUAACCACAUAUGCAGUGGGAAAGCAAUCUUUCUUACUUGGGUUCUGGUGGUGUUGACUGAAUGGCACCAGCAGUAGAUUUGGCCCAAAGAAUCGGAUGUUAAAGCCCCAAACCCAGAGCUCCUCAGCAGACCCUGCUCAGGUUAGCAGAGCCCAUUCCCCUGGGCUUUCAAUCUGUAUCAAAAGGAAGUCUGGAACUAAAUUUAAUCCAUUUCCCAGAGCUUGCUCACGCUUUCAUGUAAGAUGAGGAGUUUGCUGUCAAGAUGGGAGCUGAAUUUGGAGCCUUCACACAAUGCUCUCUGGUUGGUGUUCCAAAGAGAUGGAUGAAUUUGACGUAGGAUGGAUUGCUCUAGCAGUGGUAACUAUCUCUCCAUGCACACACAUCGAAUUCCUUUCCCACCUUCACACGCCCACAGCCCCCUGCUUAUGCUUAGGAACACAGACACAGAGGAUCAGGCCCCACCUCAGCAUCCAGUGCUCCUAAGGAGAUCCAGCUGAGUAAACCCAGGCGAUUGGAACCAGCCUUUCAUCUACUAAUGGUCUAAUGGGAUCCCUUUGUGUUGAUUUUAGCACUUUCUCCUCUUGGCUGAAUUAAAGAAUCCAUUGCAGUAAUGCCCAACCUUUUAUUGUUGUGCCAUGUUAUUCACGAACUCUUCCAGCCCCGUGGUUAUUUUUGUUUUGGCAUGAAGCUGGUUUAAAAAUAUUUGUAAAACAAAGGAAAGGAACAGUUUUUCCACUUCCUGUCUGUCUGUGUAGAGCCGUGGGUCUAAACAGCUUCCAGCUUUGGAAUCGAGAGGAUGAUUUAUGAGGGGAUGGGAUGGGAUGAGCCCAGAACUUGGCAUCUCCAGACUUGGUGUGUUCUAGGCGAGUUCUGCUCCUGUCUCUAUCCCAGGGUGAGGGUCAUUAUGGCCCAUCCCCAGAAGCCAUGGCAAAAAAACACAACUCGUACCCUCAUUCCACUUGAGUUUCAGGCAAAAUUUGGGCUUGGGCUUGAUUUAUCCUACACUUUGCCCCUUCAUUUAGGAGUCCCAGUGAAGUUUGUUGAGAUGCCAGUCCCACCUUUGGUGAUUAAAAUCCAGGUCUUCACAAAACUCUUAAAAGGAAGAAAGCCAGAAGGCAACACUAAGAGCACUACGAGAUAAGGGAUUUCCCCCCACCCCCCCGGUAACAGUGGAUCGGUCCACCUAAAAUCGCACAAAGUGACAUCUCCUCCAAAAAUAGAUGUCUGAACAUUCAGUCAGUGGGGUAAUCCAAUUGCCUGAACAUUCCUGGGUGCUUUAUCAUCUAAAUCGUAAUAAAUCACAGCAUGCCACGAGCUGCAUUGAGCUGCAUCGAGUUACGUUCCCACCAAUAACAUGCGGUAACCAGAUGAAAUCAGUGUGACAUGAUGUAAUUGAUCCCAAAAUUCAAUGCAUUCACUGUUUUGUCUUUAAAAAAAAAAAAAAAAAAAAAGGCCUAAAGAGGUCUCUUUUAAAAAAUGAGGGGGAUUUUAUUAAAAUCACCGCCGGUGUCACAUUUUGACUCACUAUUUCUCCCUUUUAUUUACUUUAAAUAAUGAGCACAUGGGGCCUGCCCUGAAGUCCAUUGAACUCUAUUGAAGGAUUACUAUUGAUUCCAGAUUUGGACCUGGCCUGGUGGGAAUUUUGCAGUAAAAUACGGCAGAAUCUCUAUUCCGCAUAUUUGAGGGCAGCUGGACUAACACAGCAGUGCUCCCACGAGUUCCUCGGGAAGAUGCUUCCACCAACCAGUGCCAAUCACCGGCUGGAAAGCUCUCCUUACAUAUAGCUCAGACCUCUAAUUAAUUAAAAGCAAUGGGAUAAAAUAAUUUCACAUCUCCUAAGCAGCCCCUUCUUUCCCAGAGCGAUAUUCCCCUGGACCACCUUAAUGAAUUCCCUCCUCCCCUCGGUUUUAUACAUGUUUCAGAUAUUUAUACAAGAUGUAUGAACAUAAAAGGAUUAUUCAUAACAUUGUUGUUUCUGAAACAGGGGACUAAAGCUAAACAUAAUCUGGUUCAAUCCCCAGCUGAUGUAAAUCAUUCCAGCUCUCCUGGAAGUUGCUGGAUGUGCACCCAGUUCGGGAUGGCUUUCUGCAGGAAUGGGAGGAGGGGAACAAAACGGAGCCUCCCGUGGGUGAUGUCUGCUGGAAAUCCAUCGCAGCUGUCGGUCGGAGGGAUUGGCUGCCAGAGCUAAAGCCACCGCAGCAGGCACGGGGAAAUGGAAUGAUUUGCCCCAAAUUCCAGAUGAAGUCAUUCACAGAGUGAGGGAAACAACCAAGGUAAUAACACGGCUCUGUUGACAGUAAUGAGAACCUGCCAGCGUUCCAUCAGGUAGAUUUAGGCUGUGGUCACCGAGGAGUGGAUGUGCAGAGCAAUAAAUACCAUAUGAUACUUGGACUGAUGCACUGUGAGCUCCUACACCAACGGGGUGCAUCACCAGCGCUGUGCUGUGGAAGGGGUUUCCCGUAUCUCCUACAAAGCCACAGCCGGUUGUAAUGCAGAGACAAAUCUUGAACAAGUGGGGCCAGGAAGGAAACACAGCUUUAAGAAAGCCCGGAGGGUUCUUGUCUGUUUGUAGUCACGUAAACUGCUGCUCACCAGAGCGUCUCUUCUGGCCAAAGAAUUAACAUCUUGUGGUCUUCAUAUUUAUAGGAGGAAAAUGCCAAGAAAUAUCAAAGCUGGAUCUUCUCUUGGCUUGUUAGCAUGAUUCCCCAGCCUGCAAAAUUGGUUCUUUCAAUUGGCCAUGAGGAAACCCCUCUUUUCCUGCCUGCACCCUGGGAGGACCCUCAGAGCUUGGCACAGCAGCUUUCCAUGAGGUCUUCAGCCUCUGGCCCUGAAGCUGAGAGUUACCGUGGCCUUGUCAUGCUUAGAUCCCUGGAAGGAAGUUUGGUUUUCAUGCUUUGCUAGGGUUUUCCUACUAACUUUGAUCUUCACUCUUGGGAGUCUCAUUUACACUCAGCUGUAUCUGCAUCUCUGGCCUUAAUCUUUCAUAACGGAGUGCCCUACUUAUCAAAGUGUGACAGCUAUCUUAACCCCCACCCACUCACCAACGUAGAUGCAGGAGACUCUCCAACUGUUAUGAAAGCAGAUAAGUUAAUUGAAUAGGCUGUUUCUUGUCGUACUCCAAAUAUUUGGUCUCCUUUGUCACUAAAGCUUGAGCCCCUCCAUCCCCUAUCAAUGCACCCCCCCCCCCCCGUCCCUGCAGCAUCAGAGAGUUAUUUUUCAGAGUGGUGCAUUUCCAUAAACAACGGAUUCAUUUUGCUCACCACUUUGCUGGACGUCGAAGGGCCACUUUAUCACCAAUGAAGUCUAGCAGUUGCUGGCUCCUUAACACGCGUCCCUACAGCCAGCUGUCUCAGCAUGAGUCAGCAUGAUCAUCCUUUUGGGAUGCUGUGAGCAAGCAAGAAGCACACACCUCCAGCACACUCUGCAGAUGAUGCCCACAAGGCAGUUCUCUCUGCCCAUGAUUUUCCUUAAAGAAAAGAGAAAAAAAAAAUGCCAAUGCAAUCUGGCAGAAGGAGGAUCUACCGGGCUGUGGGGUGCAGUACAUUCUGCUUGCAUUUGUUGGUCUGCUGUGGAUUGGUGACAGGGCUUUUUUCCCCAGCUUCCUCCUUGGCAGUCCAUUUGAAAGUGGCUCAUAUUUUGUUAUUACCUCUGAUGGUUAGCAAACGAGCGAGUUAACUCUCAUUUAUGAUCUUCUCAUAAUGAUAAAGUGGUUCUUUUAAGAGUCCUGUUGCUUGCCAAAAACCUAUUAUUGCAAAAGUCUAAAGCCAUUUCCAAACUAAUUUAUUGGACAUUGCACUCUGAGCAAGAAGCACCAGGAAGGCUCUCAUUUAAUACCAGCAAUCAAAUACAUUUUAAUGUACCCAUAACCAGAGUAUCCAGAUGCCAUGGAUGUAAGUGUAGCAUUGCGGUUCUCCAGAAGAAUCACAUUCCUCACUUUUAUAAAUACUGCCCUGUCCCUGGGAUAGCUCUCAGGAAGGACUUUUGGAGAAGCUUGCUAAGGACCUGUCUAUCCAGGACAUGCUUCUGGGCUGGCUCCCCACAGACCAUAAGCAGCAGAAUAGCACUUAUCUAUGUGGGCAGGUGCAAAGAGACCAUGGCUUCUCUGGUCCAGAGCUGGCCAAACCAAGCCAGCUGCAAACCAUAACGUGUUUGGAGAGAGAAACUGAGGCUGGAGCUGGCUCAGGUCCAGAGCAGAUGAGCUCCCAUGGAAGUUAAAUAAAGGAAGGGGAGCUGUGUGUCUCAGGCAGGUAGAUCUCCCAGAGGGUGUCGGGGAGGCCAAACCAUGCCCGAAUGGACUGUGCUUUGGGUCCAUUGAGUACAUAAAAAUGCGUUCUUUGUGCUAUUUCAUCAGUAUAUUUAUGAAUCAUUCUCUCUCAUUGGAACACAAGACCAUUCACAAAUAGAAAAAGCCUUACUAGCUGAGCUAUUUCCCUUUUUUGCGCCUCUGAUACUAAGAAUUAGUAGUGUUUUUUGUUGGUUUUUUUUUUUUUUUUUUAAUCACAUGAGUUCUGUGACUCAUGAGAGCUGUAGGUGGUAUUAUUUGUUUUGGUGUCUGGAAUCCCAACGUCAAAUUUGUCUUUGUCAGAAGAUUGAUACGACGUUGGUUUUGGCGAGAAGCACGGUAGGAGAAAGGACAUCACUUAACAGAUACUUAAAAUGUGGUCAGGCUCUGAAAAGUGACUCUCAGAAACGACAUUGUGGUUUUCCAUAUUUAUUUUCUCUCAACAACUUCCAGAAACAAUCUGCUGAAUUCACAAAUCUAAAGGUGAUUUGUUGAGCUGUCACCUCUUUGGGCUCAAUGGUGGGUUUGAAUACCCUGCCUAUUCCAUGUGCCUCUUCCAUCAGCACCGCUAAUAAGGAUUCCACAACUGGAAACUGGUUGACAUGUUGCUGAUGGAUGCACGAGGCCGAGUAAACUCCAGCGUGCUCUUCCACGGCUCCUUCAGCUCACUAGGGAUAAGAAGAACCAUAACUCAGCUUCAGGCCGAGUUAACCCAGAGGAACAUGAAAGGAAGGUUAUAAAUUAGGAGUAGGAUGGGCUAGUGGUUAAGACAUGGCUCUGAAACUAAGAAGUCUUAAUUCAGUUCCCAUCUGUGGAAUCUGUGCUCUAUACUGUCAUGGUGAGGCUUGGCCAACUGGGGGUUUAGGCAGAGCUAGCUUUGGAUCAGUCCAUGACUCUCAUGUGUGUGUGUAUCUGUGCAAAUUGUUAACCUGGGGGAAAAAAACAGCAGUAUCUUUCCUUGCUAACAGCAAUCCAAGCUCUUUCUUUGACCUCUAUAAGUUGUGAGGCAGGUGAGACCACCUUUUAACUAUGAAUGUACAUGGUCCUGAGCAUCAUUUGGGUCCUCUUCUACAGAUGCUGGCACAAUUCAAAGGACAUUCUCCUGUAAAUAGGCCAAGUCUCUUAGAAAAGUUUGUACAUAGGACCUUUCAGCCUGGUUGCUUUUCCAGCUGGCCAAGGCAGAUAUGGCAAGCACACAAACACUGGUUUUCAUGGCUCUGCCAUCCACGUGAUCUGCUGUAUGGCAAAAGUCACCUGUGUUACUUGGUCCCGUGUGGUGGGGCAAAAGUAGAACUGGCAUGUCAUAGCUGGAGAAGUGGUACUUGUGGCUUCCUGGUACUUGUGCAGGAUGUCAGCUAAAGCUAUGCGUCACAUAGAGAUGAAGUUCAUCUAGAUCCAAAACUUAGCAGAACUAUGCUUAAUGCAUCAUUCCCGCCUGAAAACCAAAGCUAAUUAGUCCAUGUGGAACGCAGCUGCUGAUGCAACUAGACUGCUUCUGAUGCCAGAGCUAGCAGGGGUUCCUCUCCGCAGUGCCAUGUAGACAUAGUCAUAGGAUGCUAGUCAAGCAAAAAUAAAUCAAGAUAACUGAAAUGUCCUGGACUUGUCAUGGCAAAAAAGUCAAUCAUAGAAGUGAUGAUAUUGAGAGAAAUCACUUCAUUUUUCCAUGGAAAAUAUUCUAAGAGUCAAGAUGCCAAAAAAAUUAAGUCAUUCUUCUAUAAUCCAUUACACUGGGUGUCUAUGGAGAAACGGUAAGGACAGUUGGUUUCUUUAGAUACUUUAAAAUCAGGGCACUGAUCUUCCCAUGCAAAGACAUGCACAGGUGAUGAAGUUUUAUUUCAAGAACACAUCAUCUUUACUACUGUCAUUCUUAGAGUGUAAUUUUCCCGUGCAAAGGUGGGGUAAUUUUGGUUAAGCAACACUUAUUGCUUUGCCUUUUUAUCUAAUUGAAUGAACUACAUUUUAAAUCAGCUUCUUAACAGAAAGCUUGUGGGGAAGAAAGUUGGCUUUCUGAGGCCUGAGGUUUUGAGCCAAGAGUCCGUAUUCCCCCAUGCACUUCUCUGAGCCAUGGGAGGCCGUUAGGCUUGGUCCAAAGCUGACUGAUGGAAAACCAGAGUCCCUUUGGCUUCAAAGGGUCUGAGUCAGGCAGCUUUUCUCUGUGCUGGUUUCCUCAUCUUUAAAGUUGGCAAAAACGCUGCCUUCUUUGGUAGGAGAGCAUGAAUGAUUCACCCACUCUGUGCAAGGAUCAUGGGGAAUUUUGCCCAAGGGACAAAGAAAUUAGAAGGGCAGAGAAAUUGGAGAAGGCUUAUUUUAUCAACAGUUCUUCCACAGAAUGGUAGGAGGAGGUUUUGUCUUAUGAUCCAAGAGGCUGAUAAGAGAUGUCUGUAAAAUCCAUGAAGAGAGUGGAAGGUGGUGACUCUGAAACAUGAAUGUUAUGAGGAUUCAGGUUACACUGCUGAGGAAAUAUGAUAUAGUUUUAGCUAAUAUGGCUUGAGCAGAGAAGUUUUGUCUCAGUUAUGAAUAUUACCACUUGUUUGUGAGGGCCUGUGGGUAAGUUAUACCUGCAUUGCAGAUUUGGCAUUUUUUUCAGGUCUAAGACUCACUUGCAUUUGAUUUUAUUUUAAUCAUAUUUUGGGGUACCAAGGAGGAGAUAGAGCAGAUAGUCUCGUACAGUUUCUGCUCAUCUCCAAAAGGUCCAGGCCUAAACUAAAAGCGCAGAUCCAGACACCCUGACGUCUGAAAGUUGGUCCCAGAUCAGAGUUUGGCCACUGACUCCUCUUUGGUCUACAUGCUUUCAAUCUUUUGCUGACUGCCCUCUAACUCUGCAUCUGUGAACACAGAUUAGACCCUUCCUGGCAGGGUCUAACCUAGGGACUUCCUGAGAGGGUCCCGACCCCAGGGGAAUGUAUUGGAUCCUGCCUUUAGUUAUGUUGGGUUGCGUUGCUUUGUGUUGAGCUGCACUGGGCUGUGUUGUGUUGCGUUGGGAUGUGUUGGGUUGAGUUGGAUUGUGUUGCACUGGGUUAGGUUGGAGAUUCUUUUUUAGCCAUGGGAUGAAUGACUCCAUGUAAGGUCCUACACUGUCUGCCCCAGCACAAACCACAGAACAAGUGCAGGGUCCCCACCCUCAGCUUCAGGCUGCAGCCUCAGCUGGGUGGGUGGAACUGGGAGGAACUGGACGAGAUGCAGCUGGGAGCAGGGUGGGGGCCAGCACUUCAAGAACCCCUAUAGUGAAGGUGUGCCCCUCCGUGCUAAGUUCUCACGUGGCAUCUUCAGGUGAGAUGAAGGAGCCCUUGUCCAGUGCCAAGAAGUCCCAGUGUGUCCAGAAGCCGAGGAGCCAUCAGGAAGACCCGUGCUGGCCACACAAGUGUCCAUGGCAGCACACAGAGGAAGAGUGAUGGGUGCAGAUGGAUGGAGACCCAACGACGUGUGCCGUUACUGCCACGCUUGUAUUGCAAUGCUGUUUGUGUGCAGGGCCCCUGUAUGGACUCGCAGGUGGUGAUGGCAGUGGGGUGAGUUUGCAUUGCAGCCGAGGUUUGCAGCGUGAAGCAAGGAUGGAGAGUGCUGCUCUGGGAGCAGGGAUGGAGCUCUUGGAGCUGCUGACAGUGCACGUGUCCUGCUGAGUGGGCAGUACUCACAAUCAUACAGGUUGGAGAGAGCACAUGCUAACAUGGGGCACAAAUGUGGCAUGUGUAUCUCCAAGAAGUCCAAAUAGCAGCA